AUUCCAGAUAUGCCAAGGGCCAAGCGUUACCAAAACUUGCAAAAAUCAGUUCAACCAGCAUCUACUUCACAAGGUGUAGCACAACCUUUAUCAACAACUGAAUCAACACCUUCACAUCUUGAUAAUACACCGCAGUUGGUAUCAUUUUUUCAACCGACACCUUCAGUCCAGGUCGCAGCACAUCAGACUGCAUCAGUUAGGACAACAUCACAGUCGGCCCCGUCAGUUCGGGCUGCAGCACAGCCAAGUCAUUCGGUUCAUGCCACAUCACAGCCGUCAAUUCGGGCUGCAGCACAACCGACUUAUUCAGUUCAAGCCACAUCACAAUUGGAUCUAUCAGUACAGGCAGCAUCACGGCCGACACAAUCCAAAAAGCGUCCUAGACGUGAGUGUUCGCAACAUUGGACAGUUGAUGCAAUAGGUAAUUCUUAUCUUGAUUUAUUCAAGUGUCACUAUUCAAUAUUGCCUUUUGUCUCUGUUUCUUGAUCUUCUGUAGCUUCAUCUUCAUAAUCACUAUUUUCUUCAACUCUUGCAUCUUGCUCUACAGAAAGCCUUUCUCCUAAACAUAGUAGUAAACUGCUCACUCACUCUCCUAAACAUUUCUUGAAUUGAAGUUGCAAGGUGUGAUCUAGAUUGCAAGUAAUUAGAUUAUUUAAUUGUUUCGUCGUAGCACUAAUUCUACAUGAUUCUGUUAAUUAGGUACUUCAAAAUUGCUUAAUUGCAAAUCUCAUUACUUUCUGUAGAGCAACUAACAUGUUGAUUGUAUGACUCUUGUACAGGAAACUUUGUAAUAAGAUUGUUCAAUCUUUCACCAUUAUGGUAUAUAGUUUCAUGCAAUUAAUUUUAUUGAUUCCAGAUAUGCCAAGGGCCAAACGUUACCAGAACUUGCAAAAGUCAGUUCAGCCAGCAUCUACUUUACAAGGUGUAUCACAACCUUUAUCAACAACUGAAUCAACACCUUCACAUCUUGAUAAUACGCCGCAGUUGGUAUCAUUUUUUUCAACCAACACCUUCAGUCCAGGACGUAGCACAUCAGAAUGCAUCAGUUAGGACAACA
rnacentral:lncRNA from 1 species